rnacentral:misc_RNA from 1 species
GUACGAAACGAAUCGGAAGACAGCGCUUUACUUAACACUUUAUUAUCAUGUCUGACAUUUCUUUUCUCCGUUAUGGCGCAUCUGGUGUCAUCUGUCCACGAAAAUGAUCCAUAGGUUGUCUGUGGUAUCAGCUGUUUGAGACUCAGAGUUGUUCCCCUUGUUGACAUGACAACUGUGGAGGGCCAUGCAAUGGUAAGCAAGCAUCUUUCAUCUGACAUGGAGGAUGGAUCAGAUUUAGUGGACGGGGCUUGUGGGGGCGAGACUCUCGGCCCAUGCAAGGAAGGAUCGCUGGCACCAUCUGGUGUUCCGGAAACGCUCUCAGAAUCUCUCAUUGACGAUAGCACAGACAAUGUCAGCAUGGAGGUCCUGCUCGGGGAGGACAACUCGCGACACCCGAGCGAACUCAGUUCCAUUUCGUACCAGAACCUCCUCGACGACGGGGAGCCAAUCAGUGCCAUGCUUUCACGACGGGACAGCGACGAGAGCAACGACUCCUUUCAGCCUGAGCUGGAUGGCGAUUUCCCCCCCGAUGAUAUAGAACGGUUCGAAGCGUCUGACUUGCCGUUGACCGAUCGUUUCAUGAAUAAAGAAUUCAUGGUUUCCAAACCCGUGCAUAAUUGGAAGCAGCAGCAACAGCAGCAUUACACUGAUAACGAGGACCGGGAUUCGGAGGUGGAGUAUAUCAUGGAAAGAAGUAAUAUUCCCGUGAUUCGAAAAGACGAUUCCGAUGUGGAGUAUUACGAAAACAUGUCGCAGAACUGUCAGCCCAGCCUGGUUGUUCAGCUUCGACAGAAGGCUGCGUCAGCGGAAAACGUCCGGGACACCGUAGACAGGGAUGACGCCAUUAAGAAGCGGUGCAGUCUGGAGAUUAGGAAUAAUAUACCGCGGGUGUCGGAGGUGAAGAACUAUGACAAGGAUCUCCGAGAUGUCACUUACAGCAGCCAGGGUGCUAAACCAAAGAUGCGGAAGCAGUCUCCAGGACUGGCAAGAAGAGUGUGUGACAGCGAAAACGAGAACAGUGCCACCGAGCGCGACGGUUCGAGUUCGGAGCGGGAGACGAUGUCCAGAUCUGAAUUACAGCAUAUAGCUUCCCACAAACCAGACUCUAACGGACAGAAUGAUAUCGAUGUUAGUAACACUAAAGAACAUCUCAGAAUUCUGACGCCUCGGAAAAAUCUGAGCAUUGAAAAUGAAUAUGAUUAUGUGAAAUAUGCUCGUGUUCAGCAAGGCAACUCAUAUGUGGGCAUGAGGUUAGCGUACUCGAGUUCGAACGAUUCUCUCAAUCUGAAAAGAAACAGUCUAAACAGCCAGGGCAGUGCGUCUCUGGACAGCUCACGGGAAACGUCUCCGGAGAAAACCCUCCAGCAUCGCGUGGUGGUGUCCGACCAGUUCACACAACAGGAACGGGUUAGCGAAGAUACCCUGACGGAAAUUCCGCUCAAUGGAACGGACAGUUUCAUCCCUGAAGACAAGAAGAGUUUCACCCUGUCUCCGGAGAACACCGAGUGUGACAGCGUGGAGGUGGAGAGCGUGACGUCAGACGGGGAUCGCUCCACCCUCGGAAUGCCGAUUGUCGACGACGGCCUGUCGAGUAGUCAGACAAGCGACGUAGAAGAUGGCGGGAGAGAUUACGCGGAACGGCUUCGGAUGCAGCAGAAGAUGGAAAGUGAGAUCAAAAGACUAAAGGUGUCUUCCGAGCACAAAGCCAAGGACAUGGACGCCAAGGCCAUAAUGAGUGACCUGAAGGCAAAACGCGAGGCGCUAGACCUGGCCAUUGCCGACAUCAAGUCUGCCAUCCAAAGGAGCAAGGGAGUUGCACUACAGUCUUCUUACACCGAGGAUGCCAACCCGUCAGAGCCGGUGUGGGUUAGAAGAGACAGUCAUGCCCAGAAAUUGCAGCAGAGACAGGAAGAGAUGAGACAAGUAAGAGAAGAAAUCGAGAGACGACAAGAGGAGGAUUAUGCUGAGAAGGAACACAAUACUGCUUUUGAACAGGAAGGACAAGCGCAGGAGCAGGACGGGUUGCUAGACCACGAAUACACCGAAAAUGGGAAAGUCCCUCCUCUUCCCAAAGGCUAUGAGUCUGAUGAUGAGUAUGAAGACAGGGAGGGCAUUCACUACACGCGGCGAAACAAAGGCAAAAAAUAUGCCCCGCUGCAAAAGGACGAUUCGCUUGACCACGUGUGUGCCCAGAAUGGUCAAUAUGGCACACACGGCUCCAACAGCCUGCAUGCGGGUUUUGUGCACAGAGAUGGGGGGCAGACAGGCAACUCGAGCCACCAUUUGCAAAACGAUCACAAUUCCGAAUAUUCGUCUACCGAAGAUUACGGCAGUGACCUUGAACCGACCUCACAGAAUGCGUAUGUUCGGGAGGUGCAUGGAGAUUCAGACACUGAUGAAGAGACGGAUCGCUUACUGCAGAAACAGUAUCAGCGCCGCGACCAGUAUGUGGAAAUACCAGAACUCACAGAGCCCCCUGUGAACAGAAGUGCUCAGGCGGAGAAACGGCGAUCUCGUGCCAAAGAAGCAUUUCGUUUCAAGUUUCGUGACCGUACCUCGGUGCAUGUUCGUGAUCCUGAUAAUCCUGAAGUUCUGAUCGAGGGCGUCCUGUUCCGAGCCCGAUACCUUGGCUCCACACAGCUUGUGUCUGAGGGCCAGCCUUCGAAGGCCAUGAGGAUGAUGCAGGCACAAGAAGCAGUUGGGAGGAUAAAGGCGCCGGAGGGUGAGAACCAACCCAGCACUGAUGUAGACUUGUUCGUAUCCACCGAGAAGAUCAUGGUUUUAAAUACUGACCUCCAGGAAAUCAUGAUGGACCAUUCUUUGAGGACAAUAUCGUACAUCGCUGAUAUCGGAGACAUCCUGGUGAUCAUGGCGCGGCGACGUCUCAUCACCAGCCCGGACGAACAGAGUCUGCGGCGCCGGCGGCAGGCCAAGAUCCUCUGUCACGUCUUCGAGUCUGACGAGGCCCAGUUGAUUGCCCAGUCGAUUGGGCAGGCCUUCCAGGUGGCCUACAUGGAGUUCCUGAAGGCGAACGGGAUCGAGGAUCCCGGGAUCCUGAAGGAGAUGGACUACCAGGACGUGCUCAACCAGCAGGAGAUCUACGGGGAGGAGCUGCAGCUGUUCGCCAACAAGGACCACCACAAGGAGGUGAUCGUGCCCAAGGCAAAGGGUGAACCUCUCGGCGUGGUGAUCGUCGAGUCUGGUUGGGGGUCGAUGGUUCCGACGGUCGUCCUGGCCAACAUGGCACCCAGUGGACCGGCUGCACGGUGCGGUCAGCUCAACAUUGGUGACCAGAUAAUCUCCAUCAACGGUAUCAGCCUGGUGGGUCUGCCCCUGUCGGCCUGUCAGAACCAGAUCAAGACGUCUAAACCUCAGACGGUUGUGAAGCUGACGGUGGUCCCGUGUCCGCCUGUUGUGGAAGUCUUGAUAAAGAGACCCGACGUCAAGUAUCAGCUCGGAUUCAGUGUACAGAACGGAGUGAUCUGCAGUUUGUUACGAGGAGGAAUUGCGGAGCGUGGCGGGGUGAGGGUCGGCCAUCGAAUCAUCGAGAUCAACAAUCAGAGUGUUGUCGCAGUGCCUCAUGAGAAGAUUGUGUCUGUGUUAGCUAGUUCAGUUGGAGAAAUCCACAUGAAAACCAUGCCAACAUCAAUAUUCCGCCUAUUAACAGGACAGGACACACCCCAUUAUUUAUAAACAGAUGAGCCAGUAUUUGUUUAAUUGUGCAUAAUAAUUGUUAUUCAGGAUAGACACCUUUCUUGAGUCUCAGGCAAUGGACUUUAUUAAAAUAUGUAUUUGUAUAACUAACUACAUCUGUGUAUUCACAAGGGCCACUUUUCAAACUGGAAGGUGGUUGUUAAGACAUAUUCUAAAACGAAAGCAAGAUGAAAGAGGUUUUCUAAGAAGUGGUUUUUCUUGUUGUUUUACAACACCGCAAAAACGAAGACAUUUGGUAUCCAGAAAUAUUCUUGAAAACUGCAAAAUUGAGUGGAUAUUCUGGAAUGUGCAGAAUGGAAAAGAUAUGGUUAAGAAGAGAGGUUGUAGAACACUGCAAAAUGGAAGAGAUUGUUGUUGAGACAUUCUAGAGAAUUGCAAAAUGGAAGAGAUAUGGUUAAGAAGAGAUAUGAUUAAGAAGAAAUAUUGCAGAACAUUGCAAAAUAGAAGGGAUUUGCUUAACAAGAUGGACUAGAUCAUUGCCAAAUGGAGAUUUGCAUGGUUUAGAAGACAAAUCUGGAAAACUGCAAACAAAGACCAUUACAAAAUGGAGGAUAUUUGGUUUGGGACUGUUCUGAAAGAUUCACUGCAUAAUGGAACAAAAAACAAAGCAAUUAAUUAGUCUGAAGAGGAGUUUUCUGCAUCUGUUUUGCGAAAAGGAAUACGUUGUGAGGAAGCCAAAGAGAAAGGGAGACUAGUUGUGGUGGAUAAUAUACGAUUAUAUUUAUCUACCAGCGGAAGAUUCACUGUACACUUGUGGCCAACAACUCGUGAAUGCCUCAUUUCUGUGACUUUAUGUUUCAAAUUCAGUUCACUCUUAACCCACAGUGUUUGAUUGUGGUUGUUUAACACUUUGUGACGUCUCAUGAAAAAUCAGCGUUUAAGAGUUGACUCGCUGAGGUUAGCAUUGACCUGCCUACAGAGGUUAUGACACUCUGAGGUUAACUCGGACAAGAGAAACUUAGUUUUGAGUUGUGAGCUAUAUUAGAUCAUUUUAGGCUGCUUUUUGCAGCAUGUUACACUAUCACAUACGUUUUAAUGGCAUGUAUACAUGUAUGUAUUCGUGAAAAGAGAAUGAAUUUUACUGCCUGUGUUUUAUGUCCACUGAAAUGUAAAUGGUAACUAUUUAAACAGCAACACCAAAAUGAUGUAGUGUCUUUACAGAAGAUGUCACAGAAGGCCGGUGAAUGCAUCUUACUACACGGCUGGCAGUGAUAUGCAUGUGUUUGUACAAAGAGAUUUUACUUUUACCACCUAUCGUUGGUCUAUCUAUAAACACGGCUAAAUUCAUGUACUUACAGCAUCACCAAAAUGUUUAUAUCUCUUUGUGAGUGAGGGAGACAUCACACACAAAAAUGUGUUGUAUACGCCUCUUCGUAAAUAUCUGACCAUAAUGUGCGAGUCGAGGAUUAUUUUUAGUUGCUUUCUUCUACAAUCUCUACAUUCCUUCCUUUUUAAAAUUAAAAAUUUAAUGUCUGUGACCGUGAUUUGAGAAAACAAGUACCUGUAUGUAAAAAUCACUGAUUCUUAAAUGUCACCAGUUGUGUGUGAAUGACGUGUGAUGCAUUUAAUAGAAGACAACAGUGCAGAACAUUUGUAAUGCGAGAGGCAGUUGAAAUAUAUGAGUUUGUAUUUCAUGUUUAUACAUAUACGUAUGUAUCAGUAGAACUAUUCAUGAGCAGAAUCGAGUACAUUGUAAUAUAGUUUGCUUUUUCUUCACCUGCUUAAAAAUUACGUGCUCUACCUAUGUGAUACGUUUUCUUAUUAUCCUCAUGGUUCAACAUAACCGAGUUAAUAAUAAUCAUACGAAGCACGUGUGUAAUAACAAGUGUGAUGAUGUAAUUUUGUAAAGUGAUGUCAUAACAUGAUUGUUGUUUUCUCCAGUCCUAGUUAAGACAUUGCAUGUGAAAUAUUCAUAUUGUUAUUCAUAAAGAAAACAACAAUAAUAAUAUGGAUAAUAAAGAAAUGAUUAAACUCGCAUGCGAGUUGUAUUGAUUUUACGAAACUCGUGUCACGAUUCAUGUAUUACCCUCGCUCUUACUCGGGCAAUAUAAAAAUCCUGACACUUGUUUGGUAAAAUCAGUAUGACACACAAGCUCGUAUAAUAAUCUCUACUUACUUGUCCCAGCUUUUCCCUGCAUACAUUCUACCAUUAUAUUGUUCGUGUGUUCUGUCAUUUUGCUUUGAUUUCGGCAAGGUGAUCAGAUUAUUUGCAGUGCUUGCUUUUCACAAUUAUGAUUGGUGUCUUAUAAAUCAGGGGUCUAGAGCAUACAAUACUUGAUGAAUUCUCUCACUUAUAAAUCAGGGGUCUAGUACACGCAAUACUUGACGAAUUCUCUCACUUAUAAAUCAGGGGUCUAGUACACACAAUACUUAUCAGGGGUCUAGUACACGCAAUACUUAAUGAAUUCUCUCAGGGGUCUAGUACACACAAUACUUGACGAAUUCUCUCACUUAUAAAUCAGGGGUCUAGUGCACGCAAUACUUGACAAAUUCUCUCACUUAUAAAUCAGGGGUCUAGUGCACGCAAUACUUGACAAAUUAUCUCACUUAUAAAUCAGGGGUCUAGUGCACGCAAUACUUGACGAAUUCUCUCACUUAUAAAUCAGGGGUCUAGUGCACGCAAUACUUGAUGAAUUCUCUCAGGGGUCUAGUACACGCAAUACUUGACGAAUUCUCUCACUUAUAAAUCAGGGGUCUAGUGCACGCAAUACUUGACGAAUUCUCUCACUUAUAAAUCAGGGGUCUAGUGCACGCAAUACUUGACGAAUUCUCUCACUUAUAAAUCAGGGAUCUAGUGCACGCAAUACUUGACAAAUUAUCUCACUUAUAAAUCAGGGGUCUAGUGCACACAAUACUUGACGAAUUCUCUCACUUAUAAAUCAGGGGUCUAGUACAUGCAAUACUUCACGAAUUCUCUCACUUAUAAAUCAGGGGUCUAGUGCACGCAAUACUUGAUGAAUUCUCUCACUUAUAAAUCAGGGGUCUAGUGCACGCAAUACUUGACGAAUUCUCUCACUUAUAAAUCAGGGGUCUAGUGCACGCAAUACUUGACGAAUUCUCUCACUUAUAAAUCAGGGGUCUAGUACACGCAAUACUUAAUGAAUUCUCUCAGGGGUCUAGUGCACGCAAUACUUGACGAAUUCUCUCACUUAUAAAUCAGGGGUCUAGUGCACGCAAUACUUAAUGAAUUCUCUCACUUAUAAAUCAGGGGUCUAGUGCACGCAAUACUUGACGAAUUCUCUCUUAUAAAUCAGGGGUCUAGUGCACGCAAUACUUCACGAAUUAUCUCACUUAUAAAUCAGGGGUCUAGUGCACGCAAUACUUGACGAAUUCUCUCACCUACGGUUUCUGUGUGAUAAAUCCAGGGGCCUUUUCAUAAAGCUCUUAAACAAGAUUGCAUCAUCCUUGCAAGUGUUUUUGUAUUACACGGCAAGAUCCCAAAGUUAAAGAGACUUUAGUGAAUUUAGGCUCCAGGGGCCUAAUUCACAAAGGUCUCUUAGGCUCUGCUAGACAACCAUCCUCUUUGUAAGUCUUUUAGCAUUGCACUGUGAGGUCGCAAAGUUGCAAGAGUUAGUGAAUUAGGUCCCAGAUACUUUAGCUAAACCCAAUAGGUUAAUUAUGACAUGGAAACUUCCUGUAGUCUGUUGAUUGAUGGCAUUCAAUGACUCCUAUGGUGAGGUGUUUUUGAGUGAGAAUCGUGUGUGUGUCCAUGCUUUUACUUCUAUAGUUCUAACCAUAUCCAGCGGGUUACCCACAUAAAUUGUAAAAACUUUACAACAGUAUUAUCAUUAUUAUAAAUCUCAGACCAUCUCAAACAUGGAUUCAGAAUCUUUGAAAAAAAGAUCAGGCUGAUUUCUGUUUAAUUUUGUGGUUAUUCUUACAUUCAGUAACAUAUACCAGUACGGUUCAGUCAUUCUGUCCUGGGCACACACUUCAACUACCAACAGGGCCUGUGCUUAUAAAACUUGUAGAGUCCAGACUCAAUCUCUAAUAAUGUCACACGCCUACAAUUUGUAUGGCGUUGUCAUAACAUUCACGUCUUGGACUCUAAUAGUCUCGAUUCUAGACUCUAAAAGUUGUAUAAGCACCAGACCAGGACAGGGAAUAAUGGUUAGCUUGUUUGUGGUUAGUUAGUGAGAGAGAAGCUAAUGUAGAGGUCUUACACAUCCUCACUGGAGACGUUAAAAACUUGUUCACAUUUGGUGCCAGUACAGGGAUGUUUUGCAGGACGGGGGUCUAAAAACUUCUUCACAUUUGGUGCCAGUACAGGGAUGUUUUACAGGAGGGGGUCUAAAAACUUCUUCACAUUUGGUGCCAGUACAGGGAUGUUUUGCAGGACGGGGGUCUAAAAACUUCUUCACAUUUGGUGCCAGUACAGGGAUGUUUUGCAGGAGGGGGUCUAAAAACUUCUUCAC